CAUGCACAGCCCUCCUAAACACUUCCUGUAAAGUGUUUAUACUUCCUUUUAUAGCACAGUCUCUUUAACUUAGAAUUCCUUAUCUCCUGCACUGUUAAUAGCUUUCCACACUUUGCAGGAGCAUCCUGUGUAUGAUUAAAGUUCACUAUACAGAGCAAGAGAUAAAACUUCUAAAGUUAGUGAACAUCAGUUUGAAAAUGUAACCUUUUUUUCAUGCCGGCUUGUGAGUGGAGGUGUGGCUAUGGCUGCAUAGACAGACAGAAAAGUUAUUUAACUCCUAAAUGGCAGAGAAUUGAGCAGUGAAACUUGUGAGGCAUUGCCGAUACUCCAAAAUGGCUUCAUUGUACAGUGCUACGGAACUUGCUGGCGCUAUAUAAAUAAUAAAAUAAUGAUAAUUAAGCUGAAGUUGUUUUGCUGACUAUAGUGUCCCUUUAAGCAAAAUUAAGGAUUCAUAAAAAGUGAGGAACUCCUCAACACUGAUGUAAAAGAUUAUGGAUUACAGAAUCUUUUUCC